rnacentral:rRNA from 1 species
GAUGAACGCUGGCGGCGUGCCUAAUACAUGCAAGUCGAGCGAACGGACGAGAAGCUUGCUUCUCUGAUGUUAGCGGCGGACGGGUGAGUAACACGUGGAUAACCUACCUAUAAGACUGGGAUAACUUCGGGAAACCGGAGCUAAUACCGGAUAAUAUUUUGAACCGCAUGGUUCAAAAGUGAAAGACGGUCUUGCUGUCACUUAUAGAUGGAUCCGCGCUGCAUUAGCUAGUUGGUAAGGUAACGGCUUACCAAGGCAACGAUGCAAAGCCGACCUGAGAGGGUGACCGGCCACCCUGCAGCUGAGGCACGGUCCAGACCCCUACGGGAGGCAGCAGUAGGGAAUCUUCCGCAAUGGGCGAAAGCCUGACGGAGCAAAGCCGCGUGAGUCAUGCGGGUCUUCGGAUCGUAAAACUCUGUUAUUAGCGAAGAACAUAUGUGUAAGUACCUGUGCACAUCUUGACGGUACCUAAUCAGAAAGCCACGGCUAACUACGUG